rnacentral:misc_RNA from 1 species
CGAAAUGCGAUAAGUAAUGUGAAUUGCAGAAUUCAGUGAAUCAUCGAAUCUUUGAACGCACCUUGCGCUCCUUGGUAUUCCUUGGAGCAUGCCUGUUUGAGUAUCAUGAAAUCUUCAAAGUAAAUCUUUUGUUAACUCAAUUGGUUUCUACUUUGGUAUUGGAGGUCUUUGCAGCUUCACACCUGCUCCUCUUUGUUCAUUAGCUGGAUCUCAGUGUUAUGCUUGGUUCCACUCGGCGUGAUAAGUUAUCUAUCGCUGAGGACACUGUAAAAGGUGGCCAAGGUAAAUGCAGAUGAACCGCUUCUAAUAGUCCAUUGACUUGGGCAAUACUUUUAUGAUCUGAUCUCAAAUCAGGUAGGACUACCCGCUGAACUUAAGC